rnacentral:rRNA from 1 species
GACAGAGGAUGCAAGCGUUAUCCGGAAUGAUUGGGCGUAAAGCGUCUGUAGGUGGCUUUUCAAGUCCGCCGUCAAAUCCCAGGGCUCAACCCUGGACAGGCGGUGGAAACUACCAAGCUGGAGUACGGUAGGGGCAGAGGGAAUUUCCGGUGGAGCGGUGAAAUGCAUUGAUAUCUACAGGAACUCCGGUGGCGAAAGCGGCGUGCUGGACCUUUUCUGACGCUGAGGCGCGAAAGCUAGGGGAGCAAACGGG